UUGAACGCUGGCGGCAUGCCUUACACAUGCAAGUCGAACGGCAGCGCGGGAGCAAUCCUGGCGGCGAGUGGCGAACGGGUGAGUAAUACAUCGGAACGUGCCCAAUCGUGGGGGAUAACGCAGCGAAAGCUGUGCUAAUACCGCAUACGAUCUACGGAUGAAAGCAGGGGACCCGCAAGGGCCUUGCGCGAAUGGAGCGGCCGAUGGCAGAUUAGGUAGUUGGUGAGGUAAAGGCUCACCAAGCCUUCGAUCUGUAGCUG
rnacentral:rRNA from 7 species